AUUGCACGCUGGCGGCCGGCCUAACACAUGCAAGUCGAACGAGUGGCGGACGGGUGAGUAAUGUCUGGGAAACUGCCUGAUGGAGGGGGCUAACUACUGGAAACGGUAGCUAAUACCGCAUACCAUCAGAUGUGCCCAGAUGGGAUUAGCUUGUUGGUGGGGGAACGGCGCACCAAGGCGACUAGCCCUAGCUGGUCUGAGAGGAUGCCCAGUCACACUGGAACGGAGACACGGUCCAGAAUCCUACGGGAGGCAGCAGUGGGGAAUAUGGCACAAUGGGCGGAAGCCGGAUGCAGCCAUGCCGCGUGUAUGAAGAAGGCCUUCGGGUUGUAAAGGACUUUCAGCUGGGAGGCGUUACCCGCAGAAGAAGCACCGGCUAACUCCGUGCCAGCAGCCGCGGUAAUAC
rnacentral:rRNA from 1 species